UACAGAGGUCUCAAGCGUUGUUCGGAUUCAUUGGGCGUAAAGGGUGCGCAGGUGGCGAGGCAAGUCGGAUGUGAAAUCCCGGGGCUCAACCCCGGAACUGCAUUCGAUACUGCCUUGCUAGAGUCCGGAAGAGGCGAGUGGAAUUCCGGUGUAGCGGUGAAAUGCGUAGAUAUCGGAAGGAACACCAGUGGCGAAAGCGGCUUCCUGGUCCAGCACCGACGUUCAGGCACGAAAGCGUGGGGAGCAAACAGG
rnacentral:rRNA from 1 species